GAUAUACACUCAGAGACAACUCAUUGACAGUUGGUGGAAGAAUAUUUCUGACCAACAAGUACAAUGUGACAGUCAGAGACCAUUAGAAGAAUGAUCUCCUGGAGCAUCUCAAAGACAAAAUCACAUGGGCUGUUUUGUUUCUCUCACAACGGCUAGUUCCUCACUCACAACGUAUAUGUGUGAUGUCCAAGCAACAAAGGAGCAUCUCCAUCUAUAAAUAGCACGCUGGUUUAAUUGGAAGAGCAAGAACUUGAAGCACACAAAGCAAUCUAAUACAUUCAAUCAAGCUCUCCUUUUCACUCUUACUCUAAAGCUCUUUAGAAAUCUAGGAUCAUAUAUUUGUAGAGUACUUUG
rnacentral:lncRNA from 1 species